rnacentral:rRNA from 1 species
UACGUAGGGUGCAAGCGUUAAUCGGAAUUACUGGGCGUAAAGCGUGCGCAGGCGGUUUUGUAAGUCAGAUGUGAAAUCCCCGGGCUUAACCUGGGAACUGCGUUUGAAACUACAAGGCUAGAGUUUGGCAGAGGGGGGUAGAAUUCCACGUGUAGCAGUGAAAUGCGUAGAUAUGUGGAGGAACACCGAUGGCGAAGGCAGCCCCCUGGGCUGACACUGACGCUCAGGCACGAAAGCGUGGGGAGCAAACAGG